rnacentral:rRNA from 1 species
UACGUAGGGUGCGAGCGUUAAUCGGAAUUACUGGGCGUAAAGCGUGCGCAGGCGGUUCGCCAAGUCAGGUGUGAAAUCCCCGGGCUUAACCUGGGAAUUGCGCUUGAAACUAGCGGGCUUGAGUGUGGCAGAGGGGGGUGGAAUUCCACGUGUAGCAGUGAAAUGCGUAGAGAUGUGGAGGAACACCGAUGGCGAAGGCAGCCCCAUGGGUCAACACUGACGCUCAUGCACGAAAGCGUGGGGAGCAAACAGG